ACUCAAAGGAAUAGACGGGGGCCCGCACAAGCGGAGGAACAUGUGGUUUAAUUCGAUGAUACGCGAGGAACCUUACCUGGGCUUAAAUGUACAGUGCAUUUUGGAGAAAUCUGGAUUUCCUACAGGACUCUGUGCAAGGUGCUGCAUGGUUGUCGUCAGCUCGUGCCGUGAGGUGUCGGGUUAAGUCCCAUAACGAGCGCAACCCUUAUCGUUAGUUGCCAUCGGGUAAUGCCGGGAACUCUAGCGAAACUGCCGGUGUAAACCGUGAGGAAGGUGGGGAUGACGUCAAAUCAGCACGGCCCUUAUGUCCAGGGCUACACACGUGUUACAAUGGUCGGUACAGAGGGCAGCUACCUGGCAACAGGAUGCGAAUCUCGAAAGCCGGUCUCAGUUCGGAUCGGAGUCUGCAACUCGACUCCGUGAAGCUGGAUUCGCUAGUAAUCGCGCAUCAGCCACGGCGCGGUGAAUACGUUCCCGGGCCUUGUACACACCGCCCGU
rnacentral:rRNA from 1 species